GGCCACUGCUAUGGGGGUCCGACUAAGCCAUGGGAGUCAUGGGGCGCGCUCUGCGCGCACCGGCGGACGGCUCAGUAACACGUCGGUAACCUACCCUCGGGAGGGGGAUAACCCCGGGAAACUGGGGCUAAUCCCCCAUAGGCCUGAGGUACUGGAAGGUCCUCAGGCCGAAAGGGGCAUCUGCCCGCCCGAGGAUGGGCCGGCGGCCGAUUAGGUAGUUGGUGGGGUAACGGCCCACCAAGCCGAAGAUCGGUACGGGCCAUGAGAGUGGGAGCCCGGAGAUGGACACUGAGACACGAGUCCAGGCCCUACGGGGCGCAGCAGGCGCGAAACCUCCGCAAUGCGGGCAACCGCGACGGGGGGGACCCCCAGUGCCGUGGCAUAACCACGGCUUUUUCCGGAGUGUAAAAAGCUCCGGGAAUAAGGGCUGGGCAAGGCCGGUGGCAGCCGCCGCGGUAAUACCGGCGGCCCGAGUGGUGGCCGCUAUUAUUGGGCCUAAAGCGUCCGUAGCCGGGCCCGUAAGUCCCUGGCGAAAUCCCACGGCUCAACCGUGGGGCUUGCUGGGGAUACUGCGGGCCUUGGGACCGGGAGAGGCCGGGGGUACCCCUGGGGUAGGGGUGAAAUCCUAUAAUCCCAGGGGGACCGCCAGUGGCGAAGGCGCCCGGCUGGAACGGGUCCGACGGUGAGGGACGAAGGCCAGGGGAGCGAACCGGAUUAGAUACCCGGGUAGUCCUGGCUGUAAAGGAUGCGGGCUAGGUGUCGGGCGAGCUUCGAGCUCGCCCGGUGCCGGAGGGAAGCCGUUAGGCCCGCCGCCUGGGGAGUACGGCCGCAAGGCUGAAACUUAAAGGAAUUGGCGGGGGAGCACUACAAGGGGUGGAGCGUGCGGUUU
rnacentral:rRNA from 1 species